rnacentral:tRNA from 1 species
AGGAGUGUAGUUCAAUUGGUAGAACAGCGGUCUUCAAAACCGCCUGUUGUGGGUUCAAGUCCUGCCACUCCUGCCA